rnacentral:rRNA from 1 species
GAUGAACGCUGGCGGCGUGCCUAAUACAUGCAAGUCGAGCGAACAGACGAGGAGCUUGCUCCUCUGACGUUAGCGGCGGACGGGUGAGUAACACGUGGAUAACCUACCUAUAAGACUGGGAUAACUUCGGGAAACCGGAGCUAAUACCGGAUAAUAUAUUGAACCGCAUGGUUCAAUAGUGAAAGACGGUUUUGCUGUCACUUAUAGAUGGAUCCGCGCCGCAUUAGCUAGUUGGUAAGGUAACGGCUUACCAAGGCAACGAUGCGUAACCGACCUGAGAGGGUGGACGGGCAGACUGGAACUGAGACACGGCACAGACACCGACGGGAGGCAGCAGUAGGGAAUCUUCCGCGAUGGGCGAGAGCCGGACGGAGCGACGCCGCGUGAGUGAUGACGGUCUUCGGAUCGGAAAACUCUGUUAUUCGGGAAGAAGAAAUGUGCAAGUAACUAUGCACGUCUUGACGGUACCUAAUCAGAAAGCCACGGCUAACUACGUG